GAUGAACGCUGGCGGCGUGCCUAAUACAUGCAAGUCGAGCGAACAGACGAGGAGCUUGCUCCUCUGACGUUAGCGGCGGACGGGUGAGUAACACGUGGAUAACCUACCUAUAAGACUGGGAUAACUUCGGGAAACCGGAGCUAAUACCGGAUAACAUGUUGAACCGCAUGGUUUAACAGUGAAAGACGGUCUUGCUGUCACUUAUAGAUGGAUCCGCGCCGCAUUAGCUAGUUGGUAAGGUAACGGCUUACCAAGGCAACGAUGCGUAGCCGACCUGAGAGGGUGAUCGGCCACACUGGAACUGAGACAGGGUCCAGACUCCUACGGGAGGCAGCAGUAGGGAAUCUUCCGCAAUGGGCGAAAGCCUGACGGAGCAACGCCGCGUGAGUGAAGAAGGUCUUCGGAUCGUAAAACUCUGUUAUUAGGGAAGAACAAAUGUGUAAGUAACUAUGCACGUCUUGACGGUACCUAAUCAGAAAGCCACGGCUAACUACGUG
rnacentral:rRNA from 1 species